rnacentral:lncRNA from 1 species
GGUAAGUCUAGUAGGUUAGAGCCUGGCCUGCUUCCUGCAGGCUUUCUGCUUCCUGACAGCCAGGCUUUCUGCAUGAAGGUGAAGGCACUCCUGAACCAGGAGCACAAAUCAUUCCUUCUCCUAAGUCCUGGACAGAAAAUGUCCCAUCGUUCUAUUCAUCCAAAUCUGUCACAGGGGUUCUUUAAUGGCUGUCAUUUUGCUGUGUGUCCUGAUGUCUUUCGGGGAGAAGCAUGAAGGUUCUGUCAGAAUGUGACAUCUCCCCUGAUCCUAAAGACAGCUCUAGAAGGCUAGACCACCCACUCAGCACUCUGGAGAUGCCCACAUCAACGUCCUCAGGAAAGCCACAUGCUAUACUUUGUGGGACAUAAACAGGACCAUACGCCACUCUCAGCCCAGCUGAGCAGGGGACUGAGAGAACAGAAAAGGACUUCUGACUUGCUGCACAUGCAAAUAACAUGUCUGACAUGGCCUCCUGCUCUCUGGGUAGUGAGAAAGAGAAGUCAGACCAUGCCCUAUCAGUGUCAGACACUGCCAGAUGGCGCAGACGCUGGCUGCCUUUAAGGUUGUUUUGGUCUCUACUUUGAAGCUACUCAUUCCCGGGUACUUAGUGUGGCGGGGAAGGGACUUUACAGUCUGUAUGGUAGUUAGGUGGAGUUAGGAAUGGCCUCUUUGCUUCCUGCUGUGGCACGGCACAGUUGUUUUGCCCUUCUGGUGUCAGCAUCUGUGAACACCUGGGGUGGUCUUUCUGAGCCUGUCUGGGAGUCCAGUGACCCUCCCUAUGGAUCUGGACACCCUGCCCUCUCUCUAUUAUCAUAAGCACAUCUGAAUUCUGCUCCCCACUUCCCCAUGUCCUUCUGAAUACCAAGCCAGGCUCCCAGCCACAACUGUAGCUGCCAAGGCAGUUUGUCCCUGGAUGUUAGGGCCUUAGUAUGUUUCCUGGCUUAUGGGAAUAGAAAGAUCCCAAGAAUACAGGACAGGCCCUUGCUCUCCCAUCGAACCUUGCACAGCUGCCUUGCUCUGACAACUUAGCACUUCUCGCCAUGGCCCUGGUCGUCCGCGGAUUCUAGAAUGUUGGCGAGAACUGGGUGCUGCAGAGUCUAGUACCUGCCCCUUUCCUUGGUGUUAGAGAGAUGGGAUUAUUCAGAAGUUCAUAAUGAAUGCAUUAAGAGGCUCAUGACUAAAUACUUCACCACACAUUUUA